rnacentral:rRNA from 1 species
AGUGAACGCUGGCGGUAGGCCUAACACAUGCAAGUCGAACGGCAGCACAGUAAGAGCUUGCUCUUACGGGUGGCGAGUGGCGGACGAGUGAGGAAUACCUCGGAAUCUACUUUUUCGUGGGGGAUAACGUAGGGAAACUUACGCUAAUACCGCAUACGACCUACGGGUGAAAGCAGGGGAUCUUCGGACCUUGCGCGAUUGAAUGAGCCGAUGUCGGAUUAGCUAGUUGGCGGGGUAAAGGCCCACCAAGGCGACGAUCCGUAGCUGGUCUGAGAGGAUGAUCAGCCACACUGGAACUGAGACACGGUCCAGACUCCUACGGGAGGCAGCAGUGGGGAAUAUUGGACAAUGGGCGCAAGCCUGAUCCAGCCAUACCGCGUGGGUGAAGAAGGCCUUCGGGUUGUAAAGCACUUUUGUUGGGAAAGAAAAGCAGCAGGUUAAUACCCCGCUGUUCUGACGGUACCAAAAGAAUAAGCACCGGCUAACUUCGUG